rnacentral:rRNA from 1 species
UACGGAGGGUGCGAGCGUUGUCCGGAAUCGUUGGGCGUAAAGGGCGCGUAGGUGGCCCGGUCAGUUCGUGGUGAAAGCGCGGGGCUCAACCCUGCGUCGGCCAUGAAUACUGCCGCGGCUGGAGCACUGUAGAGGCAGGCGGAAUUCCGGGUGUAGCGGUGGAAUGCGUAGAGAUCCGGAAGAGCACCGGUGGCGAAGGCGGCCUGCUGGGCAGUUUAGCUGACACUGAGGCGCGGACGAGCGUGGGGAGCAA